AUCCAGCUGAUGAGUCCCAAAUAGGACGAAACGCGCUACAUGGAU
rnacentral:hammerhead_ribozyme from 1 species